GAAUGGCUCUAUUUGUUGGUUUAUUUGUUCUUUAAGGUUUGACGGACUACAGUUCAGUUAGAGGUCCGGGAAAGCUUCCUGAACGGGAACGGAUAAGGCAGAUUUAAUGUUCGGCACAGACCAACUUGGAUGAGAGCGCCUGGUUUCCUGGUUUGAUCAAGACACUUCUUCUGUUUGCCUUGCCGGAACCAGUGGAAGAGCCCAGAUAAGCAGCCAUCUCUAUUCUUCUCCGAAGGCACCAUCAUUGGCAGCCGAAAGGCUGGGACCGGAUGGUUGCUAGGAGAUGGACCACCUGCACUGCCCUCAGACCAAAGCUGGGAAGAGACCAGGCUGGAGAACAGCCACAAGACACGGGGGGAAAAAAGGCAAUCAGUGAUACGGUUCACUGCAGAGCCACUGAUGCCACCUUCUCAGAGUCCAGAAGGUCCCGAUAAAGUGGACCAUCCACUCACCGAUCGACAAAGGCUCAAAGGCUACAGCUCACCUUGCUUAAAUGUUUGUUGAAAUCUUGUAGUUGCAUGACCUGAGAGUUGUUUGCAACACUCCAAUAGCAUGCAAGAAAUGAGAGGUGUGAUGAAGUCGUUUACCAAAUGGAAAAAGCUGAUUAAUCCAAGGGGGCAGGAGGUCAGGAGUAUAGUGUAUAGUGGGGUUCGACUCCCAGCCAAAUGGGUCUGGGUUCAAUCUCCACUGUCCAAUAGCGAUAGUUCUGUGAGCAUUGUUUGGCAAGAUGCCUAUCUCCUCCGUCUACUCCUUUAACGGCCUGUUCCUUUAAUGGCCUUCUCCUGAAGUCACUUUGGAUAAAGGCAAAAAUACGUCAGUUUACUAAAUAAAGCAAAAGCUGUUUGGCAAUUA